UAGUCUAAGGUCGUAGGAGGUUAUACAGGCAAAUCCGUAUAACAAUACUCCGAGAACUGAAAGGCUUUUUGAAGUCUUCGGAUGGAUAGAAGAACCCCUGAUGCCGUCGAGCCAAGAAAAGUUUCUAAGUUUAGCUAAUGUUGCCCGUACCGUAAACCGACACAGGUGGGUGGGAUGAGUAUUCUAAGGCGCGUGGAAGAACUCUCUUUAAGGAACUCUGCAAAAUAGCACCGUAUCUUCGGUAUAAGGUGUGGUUCGCUUCGUAUUAGGAUUUACUCCGAAAGCGAAGAAACUUACAACAAAGAGUCCCUCCCGACUGUUUACCAAAAACACAGCACUCUGCUAACUCGUAAGAGGAUGUAUAGGGUGUGACGCCUGCCCGGUGCUCGAAGGUUAAUUGAUGGGGUUAGCAUUAGCGAAGCUCUUGAUCGAAGCCCGAGUAAACGGCGGCCGUAACUAUAACGGUCCUAAGGUAGCGAAAUUCCUUGUCGGUUAAAUACCGACCUGCAUGAAUGGCGUAACGAGAUGGGAGCUGUCUCAAAGAGGGAUCCAGUGAAAUUGUAGUGGAGGUGAAAAUUCCUCCUACCCGCGGCAAGACGGAGAGACCCCGUGGACCUUUACUAUAGCUUGACACUGCUAUUUGGAUAAGAAUGUGCAGGAUAGGUGGGAGGCUUUGAGUAUAUGACGCCAGUUGUAUAUGAGCCAUUGUUGAGAUACCACUCUUUCUUAUUUGGGUAGCUAACCAGCUUGAGUUAUCCUCAAGUGGGACAAUGUCUGGUGGGUAGUUUGACUGGGGCGGUCGCCUCCCAAAUAAUAACGGAGGCUUACAAAGGUUGGCUCAGAACGGUUGGAAAUCGUUCGUAGAGUAUAAAGGUAUAAGCCAGCUUAACUGCAAGACAUACAAGUCAAGCAGAGACGAAAGUCGGUCUUAGUGAUCCGGUGGUUCUGUGUGGAAGGGCCAUCGCUCAAAGGAUAAAAGGUACCCCGGGGAUAACAGGCUGAUCUCCCCCAAGAGCUCACAUCGACGGGGAGGUUUGGCACCUCGAUGUCGGCUCAUCGCAUCCUGGGGCUGGAGCAGGUCCCAAGGGUAUGGCUGUUCGCCAUUUAAAGCGGUACGCGAGCUGGGUUCAGAACGUCGUGAGACAGUUCGGUCCCUAUCUGCCGUGGGCGUAAGAAGAUUGAAGAGAUUUGACCCUAGUACGAGAGGACCGGGUUGAACAAACCACUGGUGUAGCUGUUGUUCUGCCAAGAGCAUCGCAGCGUAGCUAAGUUUGGAAAGGAUAAACGCUGAAAGCAUCUAAGCGUGAAGCCAACUCUAAGAUGAAUCUUCUCUAAGCUCUCUAGAAGACUACUAGUUUGAUAGGCUGGGUGUGUAAUGGAUGAA
rnacentral:rRNA from 1 species